AAUCAACGCUGGCGGCGUGCCUAACACAUGCAAGUCGAACGCGAGAGGGGCUUCGGCCCCGACUGAGUGGCGAACGGGUGAGUAACGCGUGGGUGACCUACCUUCGAGUGGGGGAUAACGUCCCGAAAGGGACGCUAAUACCGCAUAACAUCCUGCUUUUGAAUGGGUGGAGAUCAAAAGCCGGGGAUCGCAAGACCUGGCGCUUGAUGAGGGGCCCGCGUCUGAUUAGCUAGUGGUGAGGUAACGGCCCACCAAGGCAACGAUCAGUAUCCGGCCUGAGAGGGCGGACGGACACACUGGGACUGAGACACAGCCCAGACUCCUACGGGAGGCAGCAGGUGGGGAAUUGUUCGCAAUGGGCGCAAGCCUGACGACGCAACGCCGCGUGGAGGAU
rnacentral:rRNA from 1 species